rnacentral:rRNA from 1 species
GACGAACGCUGGCGGCGUGCUUAACACAUGCAAGUCGAACGGAAAGGCCCCCUUGUGGGGUACUCGAGUGGCGAACGGGUGAGUAACACGUGAGUAACCUACCCUUGACUUUGGGAUAACUUCAGGAAACUGGGGCUAAUACCGGAUAGGAGCUCCUGCUGCAUGGUGGGGGUUGGAAAGUUUCGGCGGUUGGGGAUGGACUCGCGGCUUAUCAGCUUGUUGGUGGGGUAGUGGCUCACCAAGGCUUUGACGGGUAGCCGGCCUGAGAGGGUGACCGGCCACAUUGGGACUGAGAUACGGCCCAGACUCCUACGGGAUGCAGCAGUGGGGAAUAUUGCACAAUGGGCGGAAGCCUGAUGCAGCAACGCCGCGUGCGGGAUGACGGCCUUCGGGUUGUAAACCGCUUUCGCCUGUGACGAAGCGUGAGUGACGGUAAUGGGUAAAGAAGCACCGGCUAACUACGUG